UACAGAGGUCUCAAGCGUUGUUCGGAUUCAUUGGGCGUAAAGGGUGCGUAGGCGGCGCGGUAAGUCGGGUGUGAAAAUCUCGGGGCUUAACUCCGAAACUGCAUUCGAUACUGCCGUGCUUGAGGACUGGAGAGGAGACUGGAAUUUUACGGUGUAGCGGUGAAAAUGCGUAGAUAUCGUAAGGAAGACCAGUGGCGAAGGCGGGGUCUCUGGACAGUUCCUGACGCUGAGGCACG
rnacentral:rRNA from 1 species